ensembl:lncRNA
UGUGCAAUACAUGCAAAUGCAUUAAAUGUUCAUUUGAUUUAUAAAAAGUCAAUUCAAUAAUUAAGCUUUUGAAAUACAGAAAACAGCAGCAGAGGCAAAAACAUCAAACAUUUCUUAGAUGUUUGAUGUUCUUGCCUCUGGUGCUCUUUGAUAAAGGAAUUCAUAAUUUAUCUGUGAAUAUGCAUUUUUUUUUUUUUUUCAAGGUUUUCAAGUGUAAGGAUGCACAAGAAUGGAAAAGGGAUGUUGCAGUUUCCUGCAGAGGGCAGCAUGAGACCACAAACAGUUCAACCCAAAUAUUCAGAUGUGAUGGAGGACUGUUUCCUGAUCCUGGGAGAGAAAACUACAAUGCCUGUUGUUCUGACUCACAGUCUGUAAGUAUGUUUUCAUAUUUAAAGGAUUUGCCACUGAUGAUUCAAACACGAAUUUUGAGCAGUGUAAAGUAGUGCUUGCUUGCAUAAAAAGACAGUAUAAAUCUUUAUAAUCCGUAAUUAUGUCCCCACUGGAUGCAACAAAUGGCUCGUUUAUAAUGGGUUUUAUUGGUUUUGUCUCGUCGUGCUGGGAGACAGCAUCACAGUAUGGCAGGGGCGCAACAUUUCUGUCAUACGCUUGAGGUAUUCGGCCAAUCACAAUGGAUCGCUGGGCUGGCCAACCAGAGCACCAACAUGG